UCUAGAGGUGGAAUUGCUGGGUCAUAUGGUGACUGUGUUUAGCUUCUUGAGAAACUGCCUUCUUUGAAAAUAAUGGAGCAUUUCUUAAAGUGAGGUUAUCACACUGUAAUGAGAACCAAAGAUUAACAUUUACUGAGUGCUUCACUGGGCAAGCGCCCUACUGCUGAGGUACACUGCCAUGACUUAUCACUGUAUUUUUUUAAAGAUAAAAGAAUUUCAUGAUGAUAAAAUCAUGAUUUUUUUACUACUCUAAUAUUGAACCACACAACUGGUUAUAAUGAAUAAAAAUUACUUGAAUGGCCAACAAUAGAAACAAGCAAAUUAUGAUAGAAUACUAUUUUACCACAAAAUUCAAGUUAUUUAAACAUUUUUACAUAAAAUGUUUGGCUCUGGGGAUGUAGCUCAGUGGUAGAGCACUUGCCUAGUAUGUGGGAGGCUUGAGUUUGAGUCUUAGCACUUCAAAAGCAAAACAAUGAAAAAGUUCAUGUGCAAGGGGUGACUGAAAAUACAGUGAAUGUUUAAAUUUUAAAAAUUUAUUACAGUAAAAGACACAUUACCAUUAUUCUCCCUCAAAAUAUUCUCACUUUGAACACACUUAUCCCAUCAUUCUUGUCACUUUCUGAAGGAGUUCUGUAACUCCUCUCUCAAGACUGUCUUUACGAGGUGUGAUCAAAAUUACUGGGAAUGCUACUGCCAUGAGCCAGAAGCAGGGCUGUAAAAACAUGAAGAUACAGGCCUUGAACAUGUUGGACCAACAUGUUAAGCUUGUUGUGCUUGCAAUGUGCAGGUGAACACUCACAGUGUAGUAGGAAGCAGGUUCUGUUCCUUUGGAAAGAAUAUCAUGGCUGGACUUAUGAGUUGAGGGAUUCUCAUACAUGGUAGAUGAGCUACCUGGGUGGACAAGGUCAGAGUACACAGGCUGAAAGAAAUGAGAUGUGAAAUUCAGAACACAGAAUACUAAGUAGGACUGGAAGGAAAGGGUGGGGGGUUAAAGCAAGGACACCGAAAAGGGCCUCAUCAGAUGUUAUGAUGUAAGGAAUUCGUGGAAGGUUAGGAAGCUGAGACAGUGAGAAAAAAAACUCUUCCCAGGGAUAAGAGAAGUGAUAUCUUGACUCCUGUUUGCAUGUGCACACAAAGGAGCAUAGGCACUUCUCACACAAAUACAUCUAUGGAGAAGGACAAACAACUGAGUGUUUUGUAAGAUAACUAAAUGUGGAUAUAAAGAGGAAUCCCAAAUACCUUCUGUAGUUUCAACCAUUAAUAAUGGUAAAAUGUUAGAAGACGCAAUUUAUGGUGAACGUCACUUGUCAUUUGCAAAUUUAACUGUCUUAAUACCCUUUCCCCUAUAUAUGGUGUGAUCAAAAAACAAUGUGAAUUUUAAAUUUAAAGUAUUUACUAUGUAGCAGACCCACCUUAGAGGAGCAGCACUCACCUUUAGGUGAGCAAGGAGACAUGUGCCAGAAGAGCACCCCCCCACCACCACCACCUGAGAGCAGACCUGUGCCAGAGGAGCAGUGUCUGACCCUACAUGAGCAAGCACACCUGCUCCAGAGGAGUGGCUCUCACCAGCAGGGGAGCAAGCAGACCUGUAUUGGUCAAGCAGCACCCCUCCCUGCGGGAGCAUCUCACAAGGAAUCAGGAGGCAAGGAACAACCAACCAAUCUGAUCCUGGACAGCACAACACCAGAGAGAGAAGGGAACCACCAGAUUCUAUGACAAAGGACAUUAAAUCUAACAGCCUACAUGAACCCCUGACCUGUGGGCUAUAUCUGGCAGAGACAAGUGGGCUGAAAACUAGUAUGAAGAUUCCUCACAAAACUGAAACUAGAAAUUCUACUUGAUCCAGCUAUUCCCCUUCUAGGUGUCUUUGCAAAAGAGUUAAAGACAUUACAGUGAUCCAUGCAGACCCAUGUAUAUAGCAACACAAUUCAUAAUAGCUAAACAUUGGAAGCAGCCCAUAUGUCCAUCAACAGAAGAAUAGGUAAAUUAAAUGUGGUUUUUAAACACAAUUGAGUACUACCCUACCAUAAGGAAUGAUAAACUUGAGUCAUUUGUAAAAAAAAUUAAAGCAUCUUGAGACCAUGAUGUUCAGCGAAAUAAAUCAGACACGUAAGUUUAAAUAUCACAUGGAUUUUUUUGGUAUGAGAAACCCAAAGUAUAAAUAAAGAGAAAAAUAAAGAUAGAUGAUAGGAAGAAGAGGGAUAAAUCUUUCUAAACAGG
rnacentral:lncRNA from 1 species